UCGAAUGAGCAAAACCGCCGGAUAAGGGUUUCAAUCUCUCUCGAUAUUGCAUUCUCUACCCAAUUCUUUCUUUGAAUUAGAAGAUUUGUAUUCCGACUUCGAUUAAUUAGAUGUUUUGUUGUUUUUGUGAAGUGAAGAUGAUCAGAGGAGGCUUUCAAAACAGAGUUUGCUGUGCAUCUGCUAGUGCUGUUGGAGAUCUAUUCCUGCUAGUUGCUGCUGCUGCCAGUUGCUGCUGCUGAUUUUUGCUGCUGCAAAGCUAUUUUAGGUGCUGAUUUUUGCUGCUGGUUUUUUUCUUGGCUUUGGUUGGUUGCUCACCAACUCUUGAUGGCGUGCUAGCAAAGGAUUGGACGAGCAUAUUGGUGCUAACCUAAUUGGGAUUGAUUUGAUUUCAACGUCCACUGGCCACUUUUGGAUAAUGAGCUCACGGAGAUUGAAGGACUAAUCAAUAGCUGGAUUGAGGACUUUACACUUCUGUAAACUAAAGUGAUGCCUCUAACUGAUGAUAAAAAAGCUGGGGCUAUUGCAAUGUUCGGAGAAAAAUAUGGAGAACAGGUACGUGUUGUAGAGGUUCUGGGUGUAUCCAUGGAACUAUGUGGUGGCACUCAUGUCAGCAGUACUUCUGAAAUACGUGGCUUGAAAAUAAUCUCAGAACAGGGGAUUGCGUCUGGAAUCAGACGUAUAGAACCCGUUGCUGGUGAUGCUUUUAUCGAAUGCUAGAGAUAACUACAUGAAACAGCUCUGCUCCACUCUCAAACUGAAGAUGUACCAGCCAGGGUAGAAACACUAUAAG